rnacentral:misc_RNA from 1 species
GAUGAAGAACGUAGCGAAAUGCGAUAAGUAGUGUGAAUUGCAGAAUUCAGUGAAUCAUCGAAUCUUUGAACGCACAUUGCGCCCCUUGGUAUCCCGAGGUGCAUGCCUGUUCGAGCGUCAUUUCACCACUCAAGCCUGGCUUGGUGUUGGGCGACGUCCCCUUUGGGGACGCGCCUCGAAACGCUCGGCGGCGUGCACCGGCUUUAAGCGUAGCAGAAUCUUUCGCUUUGGAAGUCGGGGCCCCGUCUGCCGGAAGACCUACUCGCAAGGUUGACCUCGGAUCAGGCAGGGAUACCCGCUGAACUUAAGCAUAUCAAUAAGCGGAGGA